UUAGAGUUUCACUCAAAAUGCUAGAUAUAAUUCAGUUUUCAGGUUUUGUCAAAUUCUGGCUGCACUGUUCUCAAUUUUUCUAAACCGUUCAAAUCAACUCCGUUUGAGAUGAAAACAUUACAUGUUGUCAACAAUAGUCACAUCUUGCUUCUGUAAAAUUUACAAAAUUUUCCGAGCUCAUUUGAUUGCCCAAAUGAUUUGAAAACAGAGUGCAGUUUUCAGUUUCAGCAAACACAAGCAGUUUCAGAGUUCAGGGAUCGUGAGAGGCUGCCCGGCAGUCUUCUUCGUGGCCACAGGGCAGCGCGGUGCUUGCCGUUCGUCGCGUUCCAGCCCAUCCUGGCCAUCCCAUUUCACAACUUAAGCCCUCCCCGGUGCCCAUCCCCUGGAAUCGUCCUCUCCCAAUACUCCUUGUGUAUUUUGUGUCAGCAUAGGGCGAAGAACACAUUGAUGCUUAUCUUAUAUUCAUUUCAGUCUUGGUAAGCUAUAAGUCUGUAACUGCUUAAUAUAUUCUUCCCUUUUAGCAUUCUUUUUUCAUGUUUAUAUUACUCCCUGGGGUCUGCUAAUUUACCUUGUGAUGAUUCUUUCCUCACAGAUAGAUGAGCUCGUAUCAAAUCUAUAGAAGUAGUUAUGCUUGAAUUUUUAUGGUUAUAUAGUUAUAUAUUUUUCCUCUGUAGCAAAAUGAUAUAUAUUGUGAUAGAUGUGAGCUACAUAUAUAUCUUCUUAGCUUGCUCCACUGCAGGUGUUAGAAAAUAACAUUCAAGUUAAGUGCCUGAUUUUUGUAGCAGAUAUGCUCAUGAGGCUGGAAGGCCAAGAUAAACCACAACGAGGCAUUACUGCAGUGAUAUGAAGCCUACCAUUCCCCUGUUGUUGAUUAUUUUUCUGGUGUCUGUAACAAUAUUAAAUUGAGGUUAUCUAUUUUCUUUGACAAGAAAAGGCAACCUUGAUAAAGAACGUUGCAAAUUAAGCGGAAGAAGAGAGAGCGAGGGAGGAAAAAAGGAGACUCCCAGAUCACUGACAACACCUACAAAGCAAAAUGGGCUGAAAAGUACCAAACUGAGAAACACCGAAGUUAGGUGAGGCUGAAGUUUUUCGAAUACCUUGAGGAUGCAGCAUACAGGAAUGCAUCCCCGCCAUCUGCCCAGGGGGAACAAAAUCACCUACUCUCAAUAGAGAAGAUGGAA